GACGAACGCUGGCGGCGUGCUUAACACAUGCAAGUCGAACGGAAAGGCCCUGCUUUUGUGGGGUGCUCGAGUGGCGAACGGGUGAGUAACACGUGAGUAACCUGCCCUUGACUUUGGGAUAACUUCAGGAAACUGGGGCUAAUACCGGAUAGGAGCUCCUGCUGCAUGGUGGGGGUUGGAAAGUUUCGGCGGUUGGGGAUGGACUCGCGGCUUAUCAGCUUGUUGGUGGGGUAGUGGCUUACCAAGGCUUUGACGGGUAGCCGGCCUGAGAGGGUGACCGGCCACAUGGGGAAUGAGAUACGGCCCAGACUCCUACGGGGGGCAGCAGUGGGGAAUAUUGCACAAUGGGGGGAAGCCGGAUGCAGCAACGCCGCGGGCGGGAUGACGGCCUUCGGGUUGUAAACCGCUUUCGCCUGUGACGAAGCGGGAGUGACGGUAAUGGGUAAAGAAGCACCGGCUAACUACGG
rnacentral:rRNA from 1 species